rnacentral:rRNA from 1 species
GACGGAGGGGGCAAGCGUUGUCCGGACUCACUGGGCGUAAAGGGUGCGUAGGCGGUUUGGAGCGUUCGCGCUGAAAUCACACGGCUUAACCGUGUGGCGCGUGCGAAUACGACCAAGCUGGAGGCAUGGAGAGGAUGGGGGAACUCCUGGUGUAGUGGUGAAAUGCGUAGAGAUGUGGAGGAAUACCGAUGGCGAAGGCAGCCCCCUGGGAUAACACUGACGCUCAUGCACGAAAGCGUGGGGAGCAAACAGG